CCUACGGGUGGCAGCAGUGAGGAAUAUUGGUCAAUGGCCGAGAGGCUGAACCAGCCAAGUCGCGUGAGGGAAGAAUGUCCUAUGGAUUGUAAACCUCUUUUGUCAGGGAGCAAAGUCACCCACGUGUGGGUGUUGGAGAGUACCUGAAGAAAACGCAUCGGCUAACUCGGGGCACGCAGCCGCGGUAAUACGGAGGAUGCGAGUGUUAUCCGGAUUUAUUGGGUUAAAAGGGUGCGUAGGCGGGUUAUCAAGUCAGCGGUAAAGUCGUGGAGCUCAACUCCAUCCAGCCGGUGGAACGGAUGAGCUGGAGUGGGCGAGGAGCAUGCGGAAUGCGUGGUGUAGCGGUGAAAUGCAUAGAUAUCACGAAGAACUCCGAUGGCGAAGGCAGCAUACCGGCGCCCGACUGACGCUGAAGCCCGAAAGCGUGGGUAUCGAACAGGAUUAGAUACCCCAGUAGUC
rnacentral:rRNA from 1 species